rnacentral:rRNA from 1 species
UACGGGGGGGGUAAGCGUUGUUCGGAAUUACUGGGCGUAAAGGGCUCGUAGGCGGCCAACUAAGUCGGACGUGAAAUCCCUCAGCUUAACCGGGGAACUGCGUCUGAUACUGGAUGGCUUGAGUUCGGGAGAGGGAUGCGGAAUUCCAGGUGUAGCGGUGAAAUGCGUAGAUAUCUGGAGGAACACCGGUGGCGAAGGCGGCAUCCUGGACCGAUACUGACGCUGAGGAGCGAAAGCCAGGGGAGCAAACGGG